ACAUUUCCUUUUGAAUUUAUAUAAAAGGUAGGCCCUGCCCGGUGUAAUGUUAAAACCAUUAUUAACGGCGGCAUUAGCGUGAGUGUCCUAAGGUAGCGUGAUAAUAUGCUUUUUAAUUGAAAGAUGGUAUGAAUGGGUUAACAUGAAAAAAAUUGUGUCAUAUUAAAAUUUUGAAAUUAACUUUAAAGUGAAGAGGCUUUGAUUGCUAAGAAAGACGACGAGACCCCGUGAAUCUUUAUAAUUUCAUGGUUUGUGACUGUGUAUUAUUUUAAUGGGAAAUUAGAGCAAGUAUGUUUUGUUUGGUUUGUUUUUACUUACUGGUGUAAUCUGUUUUUGCAGAUACGAUAAGAUACUCCGGGGAUAACAGCACGAUUCUUUCUUAGAGGUUCAUAUCGACGAAAGAGUUUGUGACCUCGAUGUUGGCUUUAGGUAACCUGAAGGCGUAGAGGCUUUUGUGGUGGGUCUGUUCGCCCUUUAAUUCCUAACGUGAUCUGAGUUCAGC
rnacentral:rRNA from 1 species